rnacentral:lncRNA from 1 species
GAUGGUGGGGGCGAUCGUCGUUCCUCUCGCGGCAAGGGGAAAACCAUAGUUGGCCCUCAUGAUAAGCUGAAGAAAAUGAGCACGUGGGAGAGAGCAAUGUUUUGUUAUUUGCAAGGAUGUCAUGAAUCUGCUAUUGCGGCGGGUCAGGAACCUCCUUUUGGUGGUUGUUAUGCUUCACCGCCAGUUCCAGGUGUUUUAGGUCCACUUAGUACUACCGUUGCAGGAGGCACAAGUAAACCACAAGAUGAGGCUGGGUCAGCGAAACCUUCGUCUUCGCCGCCCAAGGAUGCUUAAAGUCCUCCUAGAUAGUACUUAGUGGAUGGUUUGUCCUAAUGUAUCAUGUUG